rnacentral:rRNA from 1 species
GACGAACGCUGGCGGCGUGCUUAACACAUGCAAGUCGAACGGUAAGGCUCCAGCUUGCUGGGGUACACGAGUGGCGAACGGGUGAGUAACACGUGGGUGAACUGCCCUGCACUUCGGGAUAAGCCUGGGAAACUGGGUCUAAUACCGGAUAGGACCAUGGUGUGGAUACUGUGGUGGAAAGUUUUUUCGGUGUGGGAUGGGCCCGCGGCCUAUCAGCUUGUUGGUGGGGUAAUGGCCUACCAAGGCGGCGACGGGUAGCCGGCCUGAGAGGGUGGACGGCCACAUUGGGACUGAGACACGGCCCAGACUCCUACGGGAGGCAGCAGUGGGGAAUAUUGCACAAUGGGCGGAAGCCUGAUGCAGCGACGCCGCGUGGGGGAUGACGGCCUUCGGGUUGUAAACUCCUUUCACCAUCGACGAAGGGUUUCUGACGGUAGAUGGAGAAGAAGCACCGGCUAACUACGUG